rnacentral:rRNA from 1 species
UACGUAGGGGGCAAGCGUUGUUCGGAUUCAUUGGGCGUAAAGGGUGCGUAGGUGGCGGGGCAAGUCUGGUGUGAAAUCCCGGGGCUCAACCCUGGAACUGCACUGGAUACUGCUUUGCUAGAGUACUGGAGAGGGAACUGGAAUUUACGGUGUAGCAGUGAAAUGCGUAGAUAUCGUAAGGAAGACCAGUGGCGAAGGCGAGUUCCUGGACAGUUACUGACACUGAGGCACGAAGGCCAGGGGAGCAAACGGG